rnacentral:rRNA from 1 species
GCAGUCGUACGCUUCUUUUUCCACNGGAGCUUGCUCCACCGGAAAAAGAAGAGUGGCGAACGGGUGAGUAACACGUGGGUAACCUGCCCAUCAGAAGGGGAUAACACUUGGAAACAGGUGCUAAUACCGUAUAACAAUCGAAACCGCAUGGUUUUGAUUUGAAAGGCGCUUUCGGGUGUCGCUGAUGGAUGGACCCGCGGUGCAUUAGCUAGUUGGUGAGGUAACGGCUCACCAAGGCCACGAUGCAUAGCCGACCUGAGAGGGUGAUCGGCCACAUUGGGACUGAGACACGGCCCAAACUCCUACGGGAGGCAGCAGUAGGGAAUCUUCGGCAAUGGACGAAAGUCUGACCGAGCAACGCCGCGUGAGUGAAGAAGGUUUUCGGAUCGUAAAACUCUGUUGUUAGAGAAGAACAAGGAUGAGAGUAACUGUUCAUCCCUUGACGGUAUCUAACCAGAAAGCCACGGCUAACUACGUGCCAGCAGCCGCGGUAAUACGUAGGUGGCAAGCGUUGUCCGGAUUUAUUGGGCGUAAAGCGAGCGCAGGCGGUUUCUUAAGUCUGAUGUGAAAGCCCCCGGCUCAACCGGGGAGGGUCAUUGGAAACUGGGAGACUUGAGUGCAGAAGAGGAGAGUGGAAUUCCAUGUGUAGCGGUGAAAUGCGUAGAUAUAUGGAGGAACACCAGUGGCGAAGGCGGCUCUCUGGUCUGUAACUGACGCUGAGGCUCGAAAGCGUGGGGAGCAAACAGGAUUAGAUACCCUGGUAGUCCACGCCGUAAACGAUGAGUGCUAAGUGUUGGAGGGUUUCCGCCCUUCAGUGCUGCAGCUAACGCAUUAAGCACUCCGCCUGGGGAGUACGACCGCAAGGUUGAAACUCAAAGGAAUUGACGGGGNCCNGCNAAG